GGGAUGCACACGCAGGGAGCAACCAACCCCGCCCAAGCGCCGAAAUCCACGUUACGGCUGCGCAGGAGGCAGCUAAGUGGGCCCCUCUGGGCCAGGCUGUACUCCGUUUGUGCUUUCUGGGUUAUGAUCUCCCCAGACGGUGCUGAUGAGGACCUCGAAGGAGGCUUUUAUGCACUCAAGAGGCCUGUUCAUCCACUCCAAUUCCAUCCAAAUCAGGGCUCUGGAGGCCUCUUCCAGGAAACCUGGAGUGGCCUGUCCUACCCCACCCGAGCCAACC